AUGUUGUUCUCUCAUUUCAUAUCAAUCGCCAAUUAAGAAAAUAACUUUUGUAGAUAAAAUACUAUUGAAGAAUCGGACGGAAUAGUGCUAACUGAGUUAUUAAUUUAUGAUUUGUCGUCAAAGCAGUAAUGCCAUCAGGCAAGCGGAAAUUUUUGCCGCCAAAACAUAAACAGACAGCACCAGAAAAGAGACGUACGAGUGGUCAAUUGGAAUCAAUUGUCAAAGAUGAAGAAUAUGAAGUCGUAGCAGCGCAGCUUGUAAAAUAAAUCGCAGAGAUACAAAAAUGUUGUAUUUCUUUUCACAGAUAAUUUCAAGGUGCAGAGAAGCGCGUGGCCAAUGGGAGGAAAUUUACCAGCAGCUUCAAACUGUUACAGGCAAAAUAUCUGAUGUAACUUGUCAAAUUUCGCACAGGCGAGAUCAGCUGAAACCUUUACGUUUGCUUGAUUGUCCGUAGGACCAAAUUGCUGUUUUGAAACGUUCACAUAAGCAACAUGAUAUCCAAUUUACAUAAAUGAAAUUAAGUAAAGUAACAGCGAAAUGUCUCAUGUAUCGAUGAAUGCAUAUGUAUUUAAAAAAUAUA